UGCGGGGAAUAAAUUAAAUGUUGAAAGGUCAAUAUAAGUUGAGUCACAAGACUGUAUUAAUUAUGAAAGUAAGAAUAGAUAAGAUAUAGUUACAUUGCACCCCACUCCUUCACGUCAUUUGCCAUCCUAAUUCUUUUCUAUUUUUUUUUAAUAUCCUUCAACAAAUGAAAUAUAGUCUAGCAUGUAAUAAUUAUUUAGCAUUUUGUUUGUUUAAUUUGUUUUAUUUCAAUUUUAAAAUAAUUUUACCUGUAAAUCAAUAUUUCAAUGAAUUUUUUUUUUCAAUGCAUGUUAGCUCAAGUGAUAAAAGAAUUUACUCUUUAUUGACUGCUUGAUUUCAAAUUCACUUAGAGAUUAUAUAAAAAAAAAAAUUCAUGAAUUUUUUUUUUGAGUUCAGAUAUGGAUAAACUUACUUGAAUCAAUAAUAUAUAAAAAACCAAUAUUCAUGUUAAUGGUUUGACUACUAAUAAAUGUAUGAAUUAUGAUGCUAUUUUCAAAUUAACAAGAAAAUAAAGAAAUUAUUUCCUUCAAAGGACGGAAGAUUUUGUUUAUAUUAAUAUAACAAACAAAUAACAACAUAUGUGGAAAAUAAGGGGUAAGAAAUCAUUGAGUCAUCUUUAAAAAAAAGAAAAGAAAAUUUUCUUUAUUUCCUUGUUGAUGUAAGAUUUGAAUUAUGACAUUAUGUGAAAACCUUUCUCAUAAACAAAUACAAUGAUCUCACUCACAUGCUGAAUAUAUAAGAUCAUAUCUCUUUUCGUUGGAGAGCAAUCAAUUUGUGAAACAAUUGCAUGUGGUAGGUUUUUUUUUUUCACCAAUCAAGUUCAUGUGAUGAUGUGUGUAUAUAUAUAUAUAUAUUGUCAUCCUUUCUUGGAAUGGCAAAACCAUUUCAGCAUUAAGCAAAUAAAGUGUUCAUGUGCAAGGCGUUGUGGCUCUAAAUUAUUUCAAUUUUUUUUGGUUUCUAAAGCAAAAUGCAGAUUGGUCAUUUGCUUUGCUUUUCUCAAAAUUCCCCCUUUUGCAUCCCCUUUUUUUUUAAUUUGUGCAUAUAUAUAUAUAUAU
rnacentral:lncRNA from 1 species